CCCCCCGCCUCUGGCUCCCCCCGCCCCUCCCCGCGGGCCCCGCCGCUUCCGCUCGUCCUGGGGCCGCCCGGGGAACCAGGACGUGCCGCCUGGGCUCUACGUAGCCGGCCGCCCUUGGUGGGGCCCACAGCGUCUGCACAUGAGGUCACGAGUUGGCGACUGGACUGGGGCCAGGUCACCCCCUUGUUAUCCCUCAACCCAGGGGCUCCCUGCUGCUGUGGGUCUGGGAGCUGAGGUGGCCCUGGAGGCCCAGGUCCAGCUUCUGCCAGGGACUCGGGCCCUCACUCGGUCCCCACCAGCCGCAACUCUGCAAAGUCCCUCCUAGAGCCCUGGACUAAGUCCAGCCAGUCCCCCUGGCACGGAUGGGGAAACUGAGGCCCAGGGAAGCAGAGUGGCUGGCCUUUGGCCACAGAGGAAGGUAGAAACGAUGACGGUGGGGUGAGCGGUGAUGGGGCCCCAACCCUGGAGACACCCAUGCACUGUCCUGGAAUGAUCGGACAGAUUGAGCACCUACUGUGUACAUUAAGAGACGACACAGUCAG